rnacentral:rRNA from 1 species
UACAGAGGGUGCAAGCGUUAAUCGGAAUUACUGGGCGUAAAGCGUGCGUAGGCGGUUCGUUAUGUCUGCUGUGAAAGCCCCGGGCUUAACCUGGGAAUGGCAGUGGAAACUGGCGGGCUUGAGUGUGGCAGAGGGGGGUGGAAUUCCGCGUGUAGCAGUGAAUGCGUAGAGAUGCGGAGGAACACCGAUGGCGAAGGCAGCCCCCUGGGCUGACACUGACGCUGAGGCACGAAAGCGUGGGGAGCAAACAGG